AUACUUAUCUGGGAGAGGAGAUACCAUGAUCACUAAGGUGGUCUACCCAGAUGAGGCUUAUCCAUUGCACUCAGGAUGUGCUGACUCUGCGAUUUCCCCAAAUGUGGGAAAACUCAACUGUAUAAUUUGUGGUAAUGGGAGCACUGAGUUCAUGCUCUCC
ensembl:snRNA U1 U1 spliceosomal RNA